rnacentral:rRNA from 1 species
AUGCUAGAGAUGAAGCCCUGCAGAGCCAUAGCUCUGGCGCUCGUGGUAGCAGCACAAUGUGCUUCCCUGGCCACCGCCGCCGGUCCCAGAGUCAUCAUCGUCGGCGCCGGCAUGUCCGGGAUCUCGGCUGGGAAGAGGCUGUCCGAGGCCGGGAUCACCGACUUGGUGAUCCUUGAGGCGACUGACCGCAUCGGCGGGCGCAUCCACAAGACCAAGUUCGCCGGGGUGAACGUUGAGAUGGGGGCCAACUGGGUGGAAGGGGUGAACGGCGACGAGAUGAACCCCAUCUGGACCAUGGCCAAUGGCACCGGAGGCCUCAACCUCAGGACCUUCCGCUCCGACUUCGACCACCUCGCCAGCAACACCUACAAGCAAGACGGUGGCCUCUACGACGAGAAAGUUGUUGAGAAUAUAAUCGAGAGGAUGGAUGAAGUGGAGGAGAGCGGGAGCAAGCUCUCUGGUACCUUGCACCACAGCGGCCAGCAGGACAUGUCUGUCAUGGCCAUGCAACGCCUCAACGACCACAUGCCUUCUGGUCCGGCGAGGCCGGUGGACAUGGUGGUCGACUACUACCAGCACGACUUCGAGUUCGCCGAGCCGCCGCGCGUGACAAGCCUGCAGAACACGCAGCCGCUGCCGACGUUCAGCAACUUUGGCGACGACGUCUACUUCGUGGCCGACCAGCGCGGGUACGAGUCCGUGGUGUACCACGUCGCGGGGCAGUACCUCAGGACCGACCGCAAGUCCGGCGCCGUCACCGACCCGAGGCUCAAGCCCAACACGGUGGUGCGGGAGAUCAGCUACUUCCCGAGCGGCGUCACGGUAAAAACGGAGGACGACAAGGUGUACCGGGCCGACUACGUCGUCGUCUCUGCCAGCCUCGGCGUCCUGCAGACGGACCUCAUACGGUUCAAGCCGCAGCUGCCGUCGUGGAAGAUCGUGUCCAUCUACCAGUUCGACAUGGCCGUGUACACCAAGGUCUUCCUCAAGUUCCCCAAGAGGUUCUGGCCGGAGGGGGAAGGCAAGGAGUUCUUCCUCUACGCUAGUGGCAGGAGAGGGUACUUCCCCGUGUGGCAGCAGUUCGAGCAGCAGUACCCCGGGUCCAACGUGCUGCUGGUGACGGUCACCGACGACGAGUCGAGGCGGAUCGAGCAGCAGUCCGACAACCAGACCAUGGCGGAGGCGGUGGCGGUGCUCAGGAAGAUGUUCCCCAAGGAGGACGUGCCGGACGCCACCGAGAUCCUCGUGCCCAGGUGGUGGUCCAACCGGUUCUUCAAGGGCUCCUUCUCCAACUGGCCCAUCGGCGUCAACCGCUACGAAUAUGACCUCAUCCGGGCUCCCGUUGGGAGGGUUUACUUCACGGGCGAGCACACGAGCGAAAAGUACAACGGAUAUGUCCACGGGGCGUACCUUGCAGGUAUUGAUUCUGCUGACAUCCUGAUCAACUGUGCCAAGAAGAAGAUGUGCAAAUAUGAUGUCAAGGGAAAGCAUGACUAA